rnacentral:lncRNA from 1 species
CUCUUCUUAAUUUCCUUUUUUUUUAUGUUAAAGAGAAGAAAAAUCAUAAACAUAAUCCUUGAUGGUUAAGGAUUUCAGGCAGUUCCAUGUUGCAGUGCCUUAUAAGGACCCUGGAUAAGUAAAUACAAGAAAUGUCACAAGAUUAUAGUCUUCUAUAUUAAAUGACUAUAACAUCGUAUGACUGUGUGCAUUUGAUAAGAUAGACACUUAACCUCUAAAAUAUCAGAAAAAAAGCCUAAAUCAAGGUUUGUGAAACCAAAAGGCUUUUUUUUUGCGAAACAAAUCUUACUGAUUGGCUCCUCCUGUAGUGAAGAUUUACCUUGGCAGCCACUAAAUUAGAACCCCCUUUGUAAGGGCCCAAAUUAUGCCAUAUGCCUAGCAACCUCCUUCUUGUGCUACCGGUCAUUCAAAAUUUCCUGUAUGGCAGCUUGAGUCCGGGUCUUCUCCAUGUUAUCUGGAUUUAGCACCUUAUAAUCCUCCCAGUCCUUGGUUGACAUGAUGGUUGCUUAGUUGCUCAAUGAUCAAUCUCUAUUCGUCUUGGCCCUUUCUUGCUCUCCUUGAAGUCAUGAAAGUGCUUUUAAAUAGGUUGAUGGAGCUCUUGAGGACACUUCUUACAGGUAGCUAUAUCAGGGUAACCACUUGUUAGAUGUUGCUUCAGUCUAUUUACCCUACCUGUUCCUACUUAGAGUCGUACCAGUUGCACUUCCAAUGGUGUCAGCCACAACAUUGUACCAUGCUCCCAACUAAUAUCAACUUGCUUCUCCUUCUUUUUCAGCUUUAUUGCUGCAAUUAAAUAAUAAAAAAAUUGAAUAUUCUAAAUAACAUGAAAAAAUGCAUGUUUUUUGAGCAUUCGAUGCAUAGGUUAGGGGUUUCUAAAUUACUACUUUUGAUAUGCAAGCAAUUUAUAAGUAGUAAAGCAUAUCUAACAGCUCAGAUCAUCGAUGUGGGAUUUCUGUCAUCCAAUUCAAAAGAUAUAAAUUUAUAAGAUCUUCUCCAGGUGGGACUCUGUAAGAGUUACACAAAGUAUAACUUGAUCCUAACUCUUUUUUUUAUAAAUAUUUAUGUUUUUCUUUCUGAUUCCAUUUCUUUUUUUUCCCCCCUAAUUUAGAGUAUAAUCUUUUGGCAUAUUAUGGAUCCUAAAGUGUACCAUAUCAUAUUCUUUACCUUUUCUUCUUAACUAUAAAAUAUAAAUUUUGCAUGCUCUUUAAUGCAAUACUUGUACUUGCAUGUGCAAUG